CAUUAGUGUGAUGAUGUGUCA
rnacentral:siRNA from 1 species